rnacentral:rRNA from 1 species
AGCGAACGCUGGCGGCAGGCCUAACACAUGCAAGUCGAACGAAGUCUUCGGACUUAGUGGCGGACGGGUGAGUAACACGUGGGAACGUGCCUUUAGGUUCGGAAUAACUCAGGGAAACUUGUGCUAAUACCGAAUGUGCCCUUCGGGGGAAAGGUUUAUCGCCUUUAGAGCGGCCCGCGUCUGAUUAGCUAGUUGGUGAGGUAAAGGCUCACCAAGGCUACGAUCAGUAGCUGGUCUGAGAGGAUGACCAGCCACAUUGGGACUGAGACACGGCCCAAACUCCUACGGGAGGCAGCAGUGGGGAAUCUUGCGCAAUGGGCGAAAGCCUGACGCAGCCAUGCCGCGUGAAUGAUGAAGGUCUUAGGAUUGUAAAAUUCAUUCACCGGGGACGAUAAUGACGGUACCCGGAGAAGAAGCCCCGGCUAACUUCGUGCCAGCCGCCGCGGUAAAAC